UCUCCGUUGGUGAACCAGCGGAGGGAUCAUUAUAGAGUUUUAUAACUCCCAACCCUUUGUGAACUUACCUUUUGUUGCCUCGGCAGAAGUUAUAGGUCUUCUUAUAGCUGCUGCCGGUGGACCAUUAAACUCUUGUUAUUUUAUGUAAUCUGAGCGUCUUAUUUUAAUAAGUCAAAACUUUCAACAACGGAUCUCUUGGUUCUGGCAUCGAUGAAGAACGCAGC
rnacentral:misc_RNA from 1 species